rnacentral:rRNA from 1 species
CACGUAGGCGGACAUUUAAGUCAGGGGUGAAAUCCCAGAGCUCAACUCUGGAACUGCCUUUGAUACUGGGUGUCUGGAGUAUGGAAGAGGUGAGUGGAAUUCCGAGUGUAGAGGUGAAAUUCGUAGAUAUUCGGAGGAACACCAGUGGCGAAGGCGGCUCACUGGUCCAUUACUGACGCUGAGGUGCGAAAGCGUGGGGAGCAAACA